rnacentral:rRNA from 1 species
GACGAACGCUGGCGGCGUGCUUAACACAUGCAAGUCGAACGGUGAAGCGCCUUCCUUUUUGGUGGGUGUGGAUGAGUGGCGAACGGGUGAGUAACACGUGAGUAACCUGCCCCCUUCUUCUGGAUAACCGCAUGAAAGUGUGGCUAAUACGGGAUAUUCUGGGUCUGUCGCAUGAUGGGUCUGGGAAAGAUAUUGUUUCGGUGGGGGAUGGGCUCGCGGCCUAUCAGCUUGUUGGUGGGGUGAUGGCCUACCAAGGCGGUGACGGGUAGCCGGCCUGAGAGGGUGGACGGUCACACUGGGACUGAGACACGGCCAAGACUCCUACGGGAGGCAGCAGUGGGGAAUAUUGCACAAUGGGCGCAAGCCUGAUGCAGCGACGCCGCGUGAGGGAUGGAGGCCUUCGGGUUGUGAACCCCUUUCGCCAGUGAAGCAGGCCUGCCUCGUUUGUGGGUGGGUUGACGGUAGCUGGAUAAGAAGCGCCGGCUAACUACGUG